AAAACACGAAGUAGGAGAAAGGCUGGACCAUCAGGGUUGAGAAUAAGGAGUAAAACAGGGAUGCAGGGAGUGAAGGGAUUAGGAGCGGGUGCGCACUCGCGGACCGUCCUCAUCACCGGCGUCAGCAAAGGACUCGGCCGAGCCCUUGCCGUUGAGCUCUCAAAGCGUGGCCACACCGUGAUUGGCUGCUCUCGGUCUCAGCAUCAACUCGAUUCUCUCCAAUCCGAACUCAUCUCCCCUUCCCCCGACUCCCAUUUCCUCCUCCCCGCCGAUGUGAGGUCCAAUGCCAGCGUUGAACACUUGGCGCGCCUUGUCGUUGAAAGGAAGGGCGUUCCUGAUAUCAUUGUAAAUAAUGCAGGUACAAUUAACAAGAACUCCAAGAUCUGGGAGGUUCCUCCUGAUGAGUUUGAUACUGUCCUUGAGACAAAUGUCAAAGGGACCGUAAACGUAUUGCGUCACUUCAUCCCACUUAUGAUUUCAAGCAAGAAAGGAGUUAUUGUUAAUAUGUCAUCUGGGUGGGGAAGAUCUGGUGCUGCCCUGGUUGCGCCCUACUGUGCUUCAAAAUGGGCCAUUGAGGGUCUGACCAGAUCAGUGGCUAAAGAGUUGCCAGAGGGAAUGGCAAUUGUUGCGCUAAAUCCCGGAGUUAUAAACACAGACAUGCUUGCCUCAUGCUUUGGUGAUUCAGCUUCUUUGUACCAGGCUCCUGAUGCAUGUCUGAUUGCUUGUGAACGGUAGAAAGUAAGGGGAAUGUUAAGCUGAGGUCCAAAGUAUUAACCCUAUCACGUAAGACCUGUCAGGCAAAAAAUGUAAUCUUCUUUGGAAUUUUAACCUUCCAAAGUGAAUAAAAAACAGAGCAGUGAAAGCCCAGAGGAUGGGGUCCGCUAGACACGAAAAAAAGGAUUUACGGUAAAAUCCUCUAAACGGUUAGGAGACCAGUUGAACAUCGCUCCUCCCCAGAUUAACAACAAAGUCCCCCCAAUCAGGCUAACAAGGCCACGAAAUCCUCCAUCUCCUUAUCGGGCAAAGGAAGAUGAAACCAAGAAAAAGGGAGGACUCAUUGCCUCUAGGCAAAACUGAAGCCACCGAACGACCCUUCAUAGAAGACAGCAGGUAAAGGCAAGGGAAUAAAGAACAGAAAGGUCGAUUCCCAAACCACCUAUCCUCCCAAGAAUAGGGCUUUGAAGGCAGCUACAAUGAUUCUCAAUCUUACCACAGCAGAUAACGGCGCGUCCCUCACCGUCUAAUUCUCAGGUGCACUGUUAUAGGAUAAACGUUGAUUUUGUUGUCUAUCGUCUACCCAUAACUACCUCUCGGCUUAUUGAUAGGAGUUGGAUUCAAAUCAGACUUCAGAGGGAAGGGGUGCAAGACAAACUCCAAUUUUGGACCGUAACGUAAUCGGAGUGGUUGAAAAUGAUGCCUUCAGCAUUUUUGAAUCACUUCAUUAGUGUGUCUCCAUGACUUGUAUGUAGGGUGGUUUGAUUGAAAGACUAAAGGUAGGUUCUUAUCUCUAGCUCUAUUACUAUUCUAACCAGUUGAUAAAGUUUCAUGUUUGGUCUUAGAAUGUAAUGUUGUAUGAUUUCAUGCUUAAGAAUAUUUCAUCAUAUUAUACUGUUUGAUUUACAGGGUAUAAUGAGAUGCCCUUAAAUUGGUCGUACAAUAAUGUUUCCAUAUUUUUUUCUUA